UUCAUGUAUGUAGCAAAAAAAAAAGAAAAGAAAUUGAAUAUAUUAAAUUUUUUUUUCAUAAUUAGCAUAUAUUAGUGUUUCGUUUUAAUCUUUAUUUUGUUCUUACAUUGUAUUAAUAAGAUAAAUUUAAAGUUUUUAUAUUUUUUAAAAUGAAUAAAUAGAUAUAUGUAUAUGAAUGUAUAUUUGAAAGAAUGCUUGUUUUUCUUAAAAAUAAUUGUUAGCUUUUAUAUUAUUAUUUUAGCAAAAAAAGUAAUGAUAUAAUGGAAGUUUGUAAAAACAAACGAUAUUUAUCAAUUACAAAAAUAUUAUAUCUUCAUACGAACAAAAUUAAAAGCGCUUCUAGCUCUUUGAUUGAUAAAGAACAUAUGUAUACGAAAACGAAAAUCUUAAGGCAUUUUAUCCGAUUCACACUCUAUCUUUUUUUUAUGGUUAUAUGUUUUAUUCUCUUAUUAGAUCACAAUUACUACUUUGAAUACUACGUAAAAAAGGAGUUAAAAAAUAGCUGGUAUAAAAGAUCGAAAAAUAUAAAUGAUAAUAAUUAUAAAAUAAAUCGAUGCUUAAGAAAUGAAGUAAAUUUACAUUUAUCUGGUGAAUAUGAAAAUAUUGAUGGUGAAAUAGUUUUAUUGCGUGAAAAUGAAUAUUAUGAUAUUAUAGCAAAUGCACUUGCAGAUGUAGAAAAAGAUGCUGCCGCUGCUGCUGCUGCUGAUGAUGAUAUAGAAAAUGCUGGGGCUGUUUUGAAGUCAAAUGAUAUAAAUGCUGAUUAUAUGAAACAAUUACUAGGUGAAAACUAUUUUAAAAUGAUUGAUGAAUCAAUUAAUGCAAUUAAUUCGCAAGGGUUGUUUAUAUUAUUAGGGAAUAUUUUUUAUAAAAAUAAAAUUGAUUUAAUCGAAUUAGAAGAUGAGUUAUUCAAAGAAUGUACUUAUUUAGCUGAUGUAAAUAAAAUAUCGUUAUACACAAAACUAGUGGAAUGGGUAACUGUAUGCAAAUUCAUCACAUGCGAAAUUAUUAUGAAUGAACAUAUACAAUUAAAGGAUAUUCUACAAUUUAGUAAAAGAAAAGCGUUAAAUAAAAUAGAUAUUUUUCUAUUUGCAUACUUUCAAAUACUAUCUUUACAGAAUUUUAAAAAAAAGACAUGCAGUAAAUGGAAAAAAUAUUUGCAAUACAAAUUUAGAAAGUAUAACGAAAAAAGACAUACUAACGAAUGAAUAACAUGUGUAUAGGUGUUGGAAAACAGGCCACGGAUGUAUAACAUAAUAUAUAUGAGAAAGAAAAUAAAAAAAAACGUAUUAAACA
rnacentral:lncRNA from 1 species